UACGUAGGGUGCAAGCGUUGUCCGGAAUUAUUGGGCGUAAAGAGCUUGUAGGCGGUUUGUCGCGUCUGCUGUGAAAUUUCGGGGCUCAACCCCGAACUUGCAGUGGGUACGGGCAGACUAGAGUGUGGUAGGGGAGACUGGAAUUCCUGGUGUAGCGGUGAAAUGCGCAGAUAUCAGGAAGAACACCGGUGGCGAAGGCGGGUCUCUGGGCAGUAACUGACGCUGAGGAGCGAAAGCGUGGGGAGCGAACAGG
rnacentral:rRNA from 1 species